rnacentral:rRNA from 1 species
GCAGCAGCCGCGGGAAUACGAAGGGGGCUAGCGUUGCUCGGAAUGACUGGGCGUAAAGGGCGCGUAGGCGGUUUGCACAGUCAGAUGUGAAAUUCCUGGGCUUAACCUGGGGGCUGCAUUUGAUACGUGUGGACUAGAGUUUGGAAGAGGGUCGUGGAAUUCCCAGUGUAGAGGUGAAAUUCGUAGAUAUUGGGAAGAACACCGGUGGCGAAGGCGGCGACCUGGUCCUUGACUGACGCUGAGGCGCGAAAGCGUGGGGAGCAAACAGGAUUAGAUACCCGAGUAGUCCCUGUCUCUUAUAA